CAGAGCAAAGGCAGUCUUUUGCCCGGCUCCCUGGCUGGAGCCAACAGCAAACAGUCUAUGGCCCAGCUCCCUGGCUAGGAAUGAGCAAAGCAGUUGGUGGCCCAGCUCCCUGAUGGGAGCAGACAGCAAACAAAUGCAGGCCGUCUGGCCUAAGGAAUCCUCUAUUCCCAAGAACCAUCAAGAAGCCAUGCUCAGAGUCAGAGGAUGGCCAUGGUAGGGGGGAGAAACAAACUGGAAUCCUGGGACAGCAGAUGGGCAAUGGGCAGGAGCUGCUUUGCUGGACAAGCAGCGAGAUGAAUCAGGAGCAAGACCAUCUAUAUUGCACCAAAGACUUCUAUGUACAAUCUGCUCUUGGACAGCCAGUCAUCAAGAUAUGGUAAGACGAUUGAUGCACAUGAGCAGCUACUGUGGCAAAGACUUUGGAUAAUAUCCUUGGUGAAAGAUGUGAGGUCGAAGGAAAGCACUCGAUACCGGAUUUGACCCUGACCAACUACAAAAUGAAGAAACCCCUUUUGGGAGUGUUGAAAGGAAAUAUGCUACCUCAAGACUGAGUGCCAUGAACAAGUCACCAGAAUCCAAGGAUGGAAUUAUAGCUGCAAGGAUUACCAACUUGAAUUUUUGUGACUUCGUGAAGGAGCUUGGGAGUCUUAGAUUUAAUAUUAUUCUCCAUCCCCUGUUCCUUUUGGAACCAGAAAAUAUUUAGAAUAAAAUCCUCUCUACUGGACCGGAACUGGUUCUAGGGCCCCUAUGCAUAGAAAGGAUAUGGUUUCCUGUCUCAGCAAAUGCUUGAGAAAGGGGUCCUUUAAAGGAGAAUGGAGAAUGUGGGUGGGAAGGGUGGAUGGAGACAAAAUGGGUAGAGAAACCUGAUGUUAUGACCUCCAAAACUCAUUUGUCUGAUGUAAUUUGAUCUCAGAGGUUGAAAAUGGGAGAAGUGGUUUCCAACGACAGAGAGGUAAUUAGCACCUGAAAUUUCCAAUGGGAAUGUUCUUAACCAUUGACCAGACCAUCAAAAUUGACCCUUUGAUAAUGAGGAGACCUGGUGGGUAGUGGUCAUAGCAAGAGACAUCUUCUUCUGAUACCUCAGCCCUUUUUUUAAGUGGAUCAGCUGAUCUAUGAGAACUGAAGAAUUGAAUUGAUGGGAUCUCUACCAUAUGGGACUGACUUUCUCUUACUUGCAAGUGUUUGAAGACCUGAAAGUGGCCCUUGAUUCCUUUAACAUGUGUAAGGAUUCAUCAGCAGAUUCAUUAAAAAGUUUCAGAGUAUCAAAACAUAGGUCCUCUACAGUAUUUUGGACUUCUCCUGGAAAACCCAACAGCUGCAACCAAGAUGUUCAGCACACAAUGACCAGAGUAGAGAUAGACUGAGUUGGCUGCAUCUAGGGGGGCUUGCAAUGUUAUCCUAACCAAGAGUUGACCCUUCAGUUAUGAUGGCUUGAAAUUGCUCUCAAUAUUCCAGGGAAGAGGUUCAAUGAAAGUGUUUAACUUGCUGUACUUUGUGUGAUUAUAUUUCUCCUUUAAAGCAUGAUAAUUAGCUAUUCUGAACUGGAAGGUUGCAGAAGAGUAGCUUUUGUGUCCAAAAUGGUUGAGGAGCUUUUGGUCUUUAUCACCAAGGGUAGACAUGAUGUGGUAUUCUCUACAGCUAUGAAACUGAACAGCUCCAGACUCUCCAAAAAUACAAUCAAGUUAAAUGACAAUAAAUGAAAACACUAAAUUUCAAAACUAGAACUUGAAGCUAUAGCUACUAAGCAGAAGGCAGACACUGCCAAAAGUUCAGUCUCAGGUUGUAGAGGAGUUGAAAAGGAACUGAGGGGUGUUCGCUUGCACCGCCCUAUACAUCCUUGGUAUGGCUUAUGAGGAGUAGGGUGCAUGCAUGGGCCAAAUGGACACUGCUACCAAGAAUCUCCAAUCAGUGGCACAUGGGGGACAUGCACUCUUGACGUGGAGCACCCAUGUGGACACUAGUCAAAGAAGAAGAAACAGUUCCUGCCCCCAAAGAGUUUAUAACCUAAGGGGAAACAGCAACACAGAGCAAUGAUAUGACAUGCUCAUGGCCAAUGGCAGAGUGAGGAAAAGAAUCAGAUUCUCUUGGUUCCUAGCAAUCCAGCCACUAGACCAUGCUGACAUCAAUCCCAGAAAUCCACUAGGCCAGUGGUCCCCAAACUGUGGGAUGUGCCCCCAUAGCAGGGCAUGGAGGAACGUGGGGUGGGGGGGGAUACGGUGGGGUCAGGCCACAUACAGCUGCAGCCCCAGCACUGCCCCCCAGCCCCGCUCCUGGUCCCAGACCUGCCCACAGCUAUAGCCCUGGCCUCAGCCCUAGCUCCCAGCCCAGCUGCAGCUCUGGCCCCAGCCUCAGCCCCUGGCCCUGACCAUGGCCCCAGACACACUCCCAACUGUGGCCCCGGCCCCAGCCAUGGCCCUGACUCCCAACCACAGCUCCAGAUGUGGGAGUGUGGAAAGCGGUAAUAGGCGGUGCAUGGUAAAAAAAUUGGGGACCACUUCAGUAGGCCAUUCUGCAUCUCUACGCAUUAUAUGGCAUAGUCUGGUAGCUAAAGCAGCAACUGACAGAGCGGACAGUUUAUGUCUGAUUCUGAUCACUUCCUUACUAAACAUACAGAUUUGAUCAGCAUAGAAAGGUUAAUUUGUAUUAGAGACUAAAAUGUUAAAGCUUAACAUAUGAUAAAAAUAGAGGGGAAAGGUGAAGUUAUUAGAAUUCAUUUUUAUUCACAAU